GGUGCUGCCCAGUGCCAAUGGAGUGAAUGGACAUAACCCGCGCGGGGCGCAGUCUUCUCAAUUCUUCUUCCUGACCCUCACAAGUCACAGCCGCCAGCGACAUGACUUGCGCCACCCGGAGCCCCGGCUUCCUCCGCGAGGCCGAGCUCCGCCUCCUCCGCUGCACUCUCCCCUCGCUGCCCUCUUCCCCGCCCCCACCCGCUUCCCCUCCCCCUGCGCAUCCGCUCGGUCCCGCCGCGGCCUCUGCGAUCGCUGCCGUUGAGGCCGGCGACUACGAGGCUGCGCUCGCCACCGCCGCGCCGCACUUCUUUCCGGCAUUCGCCCCCUCUAGGCCUCCUGGCUCAGCCGCGCAGUUCUACGCCGACCUAGGUGCCGCAGCUCGGGCGUUCCUGCUGGUCGAUGGGGACGGGGCAGCGGCGGGAGAGGGGUUCGAUUGCAGGUGCGCAGUUGUGCUUUCCGCUGCAGUGGCCGCGCUGCUCGCGUUCACGCAACAGAACGUGACUGGGCCUCCAAGGAAGUUUCCCACUUUUCCUUUUUCAAUGUCAUCUUUUGAUGAAAGAUGCUAUAGUAAUCUUGGAGACACAUGGGAUGCAUGGGCUUCUGACAAUUUAGCUUCUUUUGGCUCUCAUGUUCAUGGGAAAUUUUCACUCUUGCAGUUCAUUGUAUUUGCAAGGCUUUUGUUUACCAGCGUACAGAGUCUGGAUCUCUCUGAUUGCUGGAGCGUGUCAUGGUGGUUGUUUAGAAUAUCAAUGUUGCAGCAGAACAUCUUGGAUGAGUUAUCAUCGUCUCUGUUUGAUCAAGUGCAAGUGUACAAGAAUAAGAUGUUGGAUCAUUUUGGUGAACUGGAAAAGGUUUCUACCUACUGGGAUUGUUUACUGUCUGAUGGAGAAGGUUCUUAUUUUGUUUCAGCUGCUUUCUUAGAGGCUGGAAUCGUGGAAUACAAAUAUGGUCGGGUUGAUGCUUCAAGGUUGCAUCUCAAUAGCGCACAAGAAGCAUGUGGUCUGCACCUUUCCCUUACAGGGAUCCUUGGUUUCCGAACAAUAUACCAGGUGGAUGCGAAGUCUCAAAUGGUGCUUGUUGCGAAGACCAAUAAGUCAGGCCCUGAUGAAGGACAAGUGACAGAACCCACAGUAGCUCAGAAUGACAAUGCAGCUUUGAAAAAUGCAAGGAGCUUCGUUCCUGUUGAAGACGAUGAAUUCUGUGACAUACUAAGAAUGCCCAGACUGGUGCAAGAUGGGAGUAAUUCUGCCAGUGAAGACGCCACGAACCCCAGUGCAAAAAUAUCACUAUCGGCUAUACAGCAGGCUGCUGUACUUGCACAAUGCUUGUAUGUGAGCCGGAGGAGUCGUGUUGAUGAAAUGUCUGGGUGGGAGAUGGCACCAUACAUAGAGUCGAUUGAUUCUCAGGAUGAAUCUUACUUUGUGGUCAGGAGUUUGUGCGAUAUACUGCGUGUUAGAUGGGAGUCAACCCGCAGUCGGACAAAGCAGCGGGCAUUACUAAUGAUGGAGAAUUUGGUUGAAGAUAUCAGCAAAGAAUUCCCUGCUGCCCCACAAAGAGUUAAAAUGGUUUUUGCGGUUCAUAUGCCAACUCUUCCUGCAUUGAGGAAAGAAUAUGGUGAACUUUUGAUCAGUUGUGGCAUAGUUGGAGAAGCACUGGAGAUAUUUAAAGAUCUUGAAUUGUGGGACAAUUUAAUAUAUUGCUAUCGAUUGUUAGGUAAAGUGGCUGAUGCAGUUAGUCUAAUAAAUGCUCGACUUUCUGUUACACCAAAUGACCCAAGGUUAUGGUGUUCACUUGGUGAUGUUACAAAUAAUGAUGACCAUUAUAAAAAAGCAUUGGAAGUUUCAAAUAAUAAAUCUGCGCGAGCUAUGCGCUCUCUGGCUCGCAGUGCAUACAACAGGAAUGACUUCCAUACAUCCAAAAUUCUAUGGGAAUCUGCAUUGUCGUUGAACUCUUUGAUUCCAGAUGGCUGGUUUGCAUAUGGCACAGCUGCAUGGAAGGACAAGGAUCUUGACAAAGCUGUGGAUGCGUUUAGUCGUGCUGUACAGAUAGAUCCUGAGAAUGGAGAAGCAUGGAACAACAUAGCCUGCCUGCACAUGAUUAGAGGAAAAAGCCAAGCAGCAGUCCAAGCAUUCAGGGAAGCUGUAAAGUUCAAGAGGAAUAGCUGGGAAAUUUGGGAAAAUUACAGUAAAGUUGCUUUGGACACAGGGAAUAUUAGACUGGUAGUGUUCCUUGAACAUAUAUGCAGUAGAUAAUGUGCCCCCUCCCCUCUGCAGACACUUGAAGCUUUGAAAACUGUAUUGAAUUUAUCCUCAAACAAGCAGUUUAGUGUUGGUAUAUUGGACAAGGUGAUGACAAUGCUUGAAGAACAAUCUCCAGAUUUUGUUGAUACUCACGAAGCAUCAGAUGAUGCAAAUAAAGAUACAAGACAAUCCAAUCAAUUAUUAGAUAUUACUGGUGAUAUCCUCCAGCAGAUUGUGCGAAGUGGAGGCAGCAAUGCAGCCAUAUGGGGUUUGUAUGCAAGAUGGCAUAAGACCAAGGGUAACCUCAUAGCAUGUUCUGAAGCUUUGUUGAAGCAAGUUCGAUCCCUUCAGGGCUCAGGAUUAUUGCAUGACCAAAUGAAGUUCGCAAAGUAUGCUCAAGCUUCCUUAAAGCUUUGCAAGGUGUACAUGGAAAUUUCUUCCUCAACUGGAAGCCGACGAGAAUUAUUAACAGCUGAGAUGCACCUUAAAAGUACCUUGAAACAGACGAUGGACUUCUCAGACACUGAGGAGUACAAAGCUCUUGAUAACUGUCUUGAAGAAAUAAAGAACCUGAUUGCCGCUACUGCCUAGGUUGUUGCAUCCAAGUUUUGGACGCUGGUUAUGAUAAUGUAUUGUCCGUUUCUAAUUAAGCAUUUCUAUUGUUGUCUUGUUGGGAAUCAAGAUCACAUUAUCGGACUCUGUUAGCACACACAAGGAUGCCAAGACAAGUGAACCUGCGCCAGAGACUGGAAGCGAAGAUGGUGUGCUGCUACAGCCAAGAUUAAAAAGGAAGCUUAAGCCCAAUAGCAAGGUGUCCGGCCUAGAGUGGGUUCGUUGACUGUAAUAGUGUGGCCCAGUCGUUGUGCCAUAUGUAUGGCUUCAGUCUGUAAACUGGGACAUCGAAAAAAAGAACAGAAAACACUACUGCCUAUCUUCUUCCCCUCUUCCAAGUCUUCUCCUUCCCUGCCGCCGUCUUGCUUUCCCCUUCCUCCUGGAAGCUAACAGUGGUAUCAAAGACCAUCGUUCCUCGGA